rnacentral:rRNA from 1 species
GACGAACGCUGGCGGCGUGCCUAAUACAUGCAAGUAGAACGCACAGUUUAUACCGUAGCUUGCUACACCAUAGACUGCGAGUUGCGAACGGGUGAGUAACGCGUAGGUAACCUGCCUGGUAGCGGGGGUUAACUAUUGGAAACGAUAGCUAAUACCGCAUAAUAUUAAUUAUUGCAUGAUAAUUAAUUGAAAGGUGCAAUUGCACCACUACCAGAUGGACCUGCGUUGUAUUAGCUAGUAGGUGAGGUAACGGCUCACCUAGGCGACGAUACAUAGCCGACCUGAGAGGGUGAUCGGCCACACUGGGACUGAGACACGGCCCAGACUCCUACGGGAGGCAGCAGUAGGGAAUCUUCGGCAAUGGACGAAAGUCUGACCGAGCAACGCCGCGUGAGUGAAGAAGGUUUUCGGAUCGUAAAGCUCUGUUGUAAGAGAAGAACGGGUGUGAGAGUGGAAAGUUCACACUGUGACGGUAUCUUACCAGAAAGGGACGGCUAACUACGUG